rnacentral:rRNA from 1 species
GAUGAACGCUGGCGGCGUGCCUAAUACAUGCAAGUCGAGCGAACAGACGAGGAGCUUGCUCCUCUGACGUUAGCGGCGGACGGGUGAGUAACACGUGGAUAACCUACCUCUAAGACUGGGAUAACUUCGGGAAACCGGAGCUAAUACCGGAUAAUAUAUUGUACCGCAUGGUUCAAUAGUGAAAGACGGUUUUGCUGUCACUUAUAGAUGGAUCCGCGCCGCCUUAGCUAGUUGGUAAGGUAACGGCUUACCAAGGCAACGAUGCGUAGCCGACCUGAGAGGGUGAUCGGCCACACUGGAACUGAGACACGGUCCAGACUCCUACGGGAGGCAGCAGUAGGGAAUCUUCCGCAAUGGGCGAAAGCCUGACGGAGCAACGCCGCGUGAGUGAUGAAGGUCUUCGGAUCGUAAAACUCUGUUAUUAGGGAAGAACAAAUGUGUAAGUAACUAUGCACGUCUUGACGGUACCUAAUCAGAAAGCCACGGCUAACUACGUG